UACGCAGGGGGCUAGCGUUGUUCGGAAUUACUGGGCGUAAAGCGUGCGCAGGCGUCUUCUCAAGUCAGGGGUGAAAGCCCAGAGCUCAACUCUGGAAUUGCCUUUGAGACUGAGUGGCUUGAGUACGAGAGAGGUGAGUGGAAUUCCCAGUGUAGAGGUGAAAUUCGUAGAUAUUGGGAAGAACACCGGUGGCGAAGGCGGCUCACUGGCUCGUAACUGACGCUCAUGCACGACAGCGUGGGGAUCAAACAGG
rnacentral:rRNA from 1 species